AACGGCCGUACCAUGCUGAAUAUACCGGUUCUCGUUCGAUCACCGAAGUUAAGCAUCAUUGGGCGCGGUCAGUACUUGGGUGGGUGACCACCUGGGAACACUGCGUGCCGUU
rnacentral:rRNA from 1 species